CUGAUUUCCAAGUAUAGAAAUAAUGAAUGCUUAUCCACCAUGUGUGAACGAAUUAUGCGCUAGCCGUGCGUGCUGUACUCCAGGUGAGUUUGUGUCCGAUUAAUUCUUAUAUAUUAAUAUAAAAUAUAUGUGUAAUACAAUUGUCAGGUAAUGCUUAAAUUUGCAAAUAAUUCAAAUGUUAACACAAGGACUGUGCUUUUUUCGAAUAUUAAGCAUUUUUUUUAUUUUUUUAUAAUUUAAUAUAGUUCAUUUUUAUAUUGUUAAAAUAAUUCUACACAGGGUAUAAAUACAGGUGGCCUAACACACUCGAUAUGAAUGGAGAAAAGGCCAAGAGAUCAUUGAGAAAGACAAUCCGUUGGUGACUGGUGUGAUUGUUCUUGAUGGCAAUUAUGUAAUUGAAAAUUUCUGUUGUAAUCGAGUCUGGAUUUUCGUAGAUAAGCACGGAAAAGUAAAACUUCCCGUGCCAAUGGUUGGCUAAAAGAUGUAGAAAGUGGAACUAUUUCUCAAUAAAAACUAAGACCUGUCAAUAAGACUAUGGAAUAAAG
rnacentral:lncRNA from 1 species